rnacentral:rRNA from 1 species
GAUGAACGCUGGCGGCGUGCCUAAUACAUGCAAGUCGAGCGAACGGACGAGAAGCUUGCUUCUCUGAUGUUAGCGGCGGACGGGUGAGUAACACGUGGAUAACCUACCUAUAAGACUGGGAUAACUUCGGGAAACCGGAGCUAAUACCGGAUGAUAUUUUGAACUGCAUGGUUCAAAAGUGAAAGACGGUCUUGCUGUCACUUAUAGAUGGAUCCGCGCUGCAUUAGUUAGUUGGUAAGGUAACGGCUUACCAAGGCAACGAUGCAUAGCCGACCUGAGAGGGUGAUCGGACACACUGGAACUGAGACACGGUCCAGACUCCUACGGGAGGCAGCAGUAGGGAAUCUUACGCAAUGGGCGAAAGCCUGACGGAGCAACGCCGCGUGAGUGAUGAAGGUCUUCGGAUCGUAAAACUCUGUUAUUAGGGAAGAACAUAUGUGUAAGUAACUGUGCACAUCUUGACGGUACCUAAUCAGAAAGCCACGGCUAACUACGUG